rnacentral:rRNA from 1 species
AUGAAGAAGAAUGCAUCCCCUGGACCAGAUGGGCUGAAUGUAGCCUUCUACCUCUCAGCGUGGAAGUGGAUAGGAGAAGACAUAACCAAAUUAGUUCAAGAUUUCUACGCAAGGGGUAAGCUUCAUCCUCAGCUUAAUAAAACCUGUAUCACUUUAAUUCCAAAGAAAGAAAAUGCUAAAAUUCCUCAAGAUUUCAGGCCCAUUAGUCUUUGUAAUGUAGUUUAUAAAAUUAUCACCAAAACUUUGGCCAAUAGACUCAAAGAUCUUCUACCUGAUUAUAUCCAUGAGUCUCAGCAAGCUUUCAUACAAGGCAGGAGGGUUACUAAUAAUAUUGUUAUUGCUCAAGAAAUCACUCACUCCUUUCUGCUUAAAUCCUGGAAGCACAAAGCCUUUAUGCUUAAAAUAGAUUUGGCCAAAGCUUUUGACAGAAUUGAAUGGUGCUUUAUCAGAAGGGCGUUGUUCCGAAAAGGGCUGCAUUGUCAUUUCAUAGAUUUAAUCAUGGAAUGUAUCUCCUCUGCCACCUUUUCUGUUAUUAAUGGGCAACCGUUUGGCAGUUUUAAGGGAUCCCGAGGCAUUCGACAAGGUUGUCCCCUGUCACCGUAUCUUUUUAUUCUUGCAGUCAAUGAAUUGUCGCUUUCAAUGCAGGAGGCUUUAAAUGCCAAUCAUUUCAGCAGUAUCCAAUUAGGCCCAGGUUGCCCCCCUAUCCACUCUCUCAUGUUUGCGGACGACCUGAUUGUCUGUGGCAGAGCAGAUAAUAAUGAUGCCAAUACGACUGCUUUUAUUAUUAAUCAGUUUUGUGCUGUUUCUGGUCAAACCCCUAAUUGGAAUAAAUCUGCCAUACUUUUUAGUAAAAAUACUGAUGAUAAUUUGAGGAACCAAAUUAAGAAUAUCUUUCCUGCUCCUAAUAUGGAUUGUAAUACUACUCAUCUUGGCCAUCCUCUUAUUUUACCUGGUAAAAAUAGACCUGCAGCUUAUAAUUUUAUUAUUGAUAAGUUUAGAGCUAAACUUAAUUGCUAUAAGGCUAACAGGUUGUCUCAUGCAGGAAGACUCACUCUUAUUAAAUCUGUUUUUGCUUCCCUUCCUGUGUAUUACAUGUCUAAUAUCCUUUUAAGUAAAUCCACCAUUAAUAAACUCACUUCCAUAAUUAGAAAGUUCUGGUGGACAGGUAUUGAUAAGGAUAAUGCUUCCAAACCUAUCUGCUUUAGGGCUUGGGAUGAUAUUUGCAAACCUAUGCAUCAAGGUGGUCUAGGCAUUAGAGAUCUUUAUAUGAUGAAUAAGUCUAUGGUUGCUAUGAUGGCUUGGAGAGUUAUUAAGAGUCCUAAUUCUCUUGUUACGAAAGUUCUCAAAGCCAAAUAUUUUCAUAACUCUUCAAUUUGGAAAGUGAAUGGCAAUGUUCCUAAAUCUGCUUUCUGGUCCUCUAUUCUCAAAGUUCUUCCUUUCAUUAGCAAGGCUAGUCAUACUCAAAUUGCUAAUGGUAAUACUUGUAUUUGGACUAGUCCUUGGUGCAAUGAUUGGGACAAUAUUUAUGAUCACCUUAAACCUAAUCUAGGUAUCCCUUGUCCUAAAGUUGUUAGUGAUCUUUGGAAACCAAAUUGUAAGAGUUGGGAUGAGGAUAAAAUUAAUAUCUUUUUCGAUGAUAAUUUCAAGAGAAAUAUUUUACAAACUCCUAUCAUUAAUGCUAAUAUGGACGAUACUUUAUGUUGGAUUCAUACCCCUAAUGCGGAGUGUACCACUAAAAGUGCUUAUAAAGCUUUGAUGCAGGAGGCCCAACCCAGGUUACAAUCUCAAAGUCACACUAUUUCAGAUUCUGAAAUUUCUAUUCUCAAUCAGGUUUGGAAAAGCAAAAACCUGGCUCCAAGAGUCAAAACCUUUGCAUGGAGAAUUCUAAGAAGAGCUUUAGCUUCAGGGCUUAGGGGAUCCAGGUAUUCUACUCACAUUAAAAAGGAAUGUUGCAGGUGCGGCGAGACGGAGAGACUUGCAUCUUUUCUUUACUUGCAAUUUCACUAG